GAUUGAGUGUGCUGCAGUACCACAACAAUGUCCCGCGGUGUAGGUAGUCUUAUUGUCGCCAUCUCCUUGGAAAGAAAGCGCCACUCCUGUCAAGCCUUCGGAAUUUCUGUGGGGAUAUGAAGCAUUUACGUCGCAAAGUAAACACAAAAAAAUUUCAAGGGACAUCAAGAAGUGAUGUGACAAAAUAUUCAGUCAAGACUAUUGGACCAUCAAAAAGAAAACAUGAGUGGAAUAUUUGAACUUCCGCCGGGUUAGUGUUCCUGCUUUCCUUCUUGGCUUAGAGGGAAGAGUUUGCUGCUUUAUAGUGGGGCUAGAAGGACGAGGUGGGUGAUGGAGCCAGGAAGUUCAAGAAACCAUCUGAAACCGGCGUCGUCUUAAUUUUAGUCAUCUCGUACUUCUGCUCUGUUGUGCUGUGCUGUGGCCUACUCUUCAUGAUUUCAAAAUUUGUAUUGUAAAGGUCUUUUUUAAAAAGGGCAUUUUUUUUUUUCAGGUUCGGACCUUGAAAAAAAAAAAAAUUAAAUAACAAAAAUUCUAUCUGAUAAUAGAGAUAUGUACCUUACUUGAAGGAGACACAUUCUGUGUUAUGUAAAUAUUCUUUUGUGUUCAUAGGAAUAGUGAGUGAACAAUUAUAUUUAACUCUAACCAUAUUUCACUUUUACAUAAAAAUUUAGAACGUGAAAAG